GACCAACUCAUGUCUGUGUUCAUGUUGAGAAGUAAUUCUAUAGAUGAGGCAGAAGAGCAGACAAACUCAGGAUACAAGUGUGCAAAGAUGUAUAGCAGACGUGUUGAUCAUCGUAUCAUAGCACUUUUAUAAUAGCAAAAAAAAGAAGAAAAGAAAGGGGAAGAGGGAAAAUUAAAAAGAAAAAAAAAAACAGAAAAGACUCAUAUGCCCAGGAAAAAAGUCUGGGAGAGUAUGUACCAAAAAAUGUUUUAAAACUUUGAUUACAAUGGUUUUGCAUGGGUGAUGAGGUCAUAGUGGUUUUUGGUUUUGGGGUCUUUUAUUUGUCUAUAUUUUGAAAGUUUUCCAUUGAUAAUUUUUGCAAUGAAACAGUUAUUUUAAUGGAAAUUAUAGGUGUAGAUGAUAUGUGGAAUGUUUAUGCUAGUCAGAAUUUUUGGUGAAGACAACAGAAAUGUACCCUGACCAACGCAAGAAAAAUUUUUAUAAGUCUGUCACAGAGCUAAAGAAGAAGAACAAGGUCUAGGAAAGAAUAAGCAGCCAGGGAAGCUGGCAACCUGGAGCACAGCCAAGAUGGUCCCUGCCCUAGGUACAGUCUUCAGAGGACCGCACACCUCAGAAGUCAUCUCUAUGCUGUGGGCUGUGAACCCCACCAUACCUACAAUGAUCUCAGCAUCCUGCCUUUUUGUGUCACUCCCUCGAGGUUGAAAGCCCUUGGCAAGAACAUUUGCAGAUGCCCCAGCUGUCAGAGAAAAAAGAUUAUCUUCCUCCUUCAGCUUCUACGGUGGGAUGUGUGACCCUGCCUCCUGCCUAUUUUAGGACUCUGCCUAAACAAAGUGUUCUGGUGCUAGGUGACCAAAACCAAAAAUCCAUGAACAUGUUCUAACAAAAUAAUGCUGUGAAGGUUUCCUGAUGAUCCAUGUUACUCCCAUAGUAUCUCCUCUCUUCCUCCCUACUACUUACCAGCAAGAGACCAUAUCACCUAUUUAGGAUCAAUGUAAAGCAGAGCUAAUAUCUGAAAUCCCAAUUUCUUUUCAAAUGCUUGCCUUCCCAAAUUUGAAGUCAGAAGAAACAAUGUAUUCCUGCUGAUGUCAAUAAGACUUCCUCAGCUGGGCAUCGUGGCUCACACCUGUAAUCCCAGCACUUUUUGAGACCG
rnacentral:lncRNA from 1 species